CACACGACUCUCGGCAACGGAUGUCUCGGCUCUCGCAUCGAUGAAGAACGUAGCGAAAUGCGAUACCUGGUGUGAAUUGCAGAAUCCCGCGAACCAUCGAGUCUUUGAACGCAAGUUGCGCCCGAGGCCACUCGGCUGAGGGCACGCCUGCCUGGGCGUCACGC
rnacentral:rRNA from 1 species